UACUCCUACGGGAGGCAGCAGUGGGGAAUAUUGCACAAUGGGCGCAAGCCUGAUGCAGCAACGCCGCGUGAGGGACGACGGCCUUCGGGUUGUAAACCUCUUUUAGUAGGGAAGAAGCGAAAGUGACGGUACCUGCAGAAAAAGCACCGGCUAACUACGUGCCACCAGCCGCGGUAAUA
rnacentral:rRNA from 1 species